AGAGUUUGAUCAUGGCUCAGGAUGAACGCUGGCGGCGUGCUUAACACAUGCAAGUCGAACGAACCUUCGGGUUAGUGGCGGACGGGUGAGUAACGCGUGAGAAUCUGCCCUCAGGAGGGGGAUAACGGUUGGAAACGACCGCUAAUACCCCAUAUGCCUACUGGUGAAAUGAAUUUCGCCUGAGGAUGAGCUCGCGUCUGAUUAGCUAGUUGGUGAGGUAAUGGCUCACCAAGGCUUCGAUCAGUAGCUGGUCUGAGAGGAUGAUCAGCCACACUGGGACUGAGACACGGCCCAGACUCCUACGGGAGGCAGCAGUGGGGAAUUUUCCGCAAUGGGCGAAAGCCUGACGGAGCAACGCCGCGUGAGGGACGAAGGCCUCUGGGCUGUAAACCUCUUUUCUCAAGGAAGAAGAUAUGACGGUACUUGAGGAAUAAGCCACGGCUAAUUCCGUGCCAGCAGCCGCGGUAAUACGGGAGUGGCAAGCGUUAUCCGGAAUUAUUGGGCGUAAAGCGUCCGCAGGCGGCUUUUCAAGUCUGCUGUUAAAGCGUGGAGCUUAACUCCAUCAUGGCAGUGGAAACUGAAAGGCUUGAGUAUGGUAGGGGCAGAGGGAAUUCCCGGUGUAGCGGUGAAAUGCGUAGAUAUCGGGAAGAACACCAGUGGCGAAGGCGCUCUGCUGGGCCAUUACUGACGCUCAUGGACGAAAGCCAGGGGAGCGAAAGGGAUUAGAUACCCCUGUAGUCCUGGCCGUAAACGAUGAACACUAG
rnacentral:rRNA from 1 species